rnacentral:rRNA from 1 species
CGGGGUGAGUAACGCGUGGGUAACCUGCCUUGUACUGGAGGACAACAGUUAGAAAUGACUGCUAAUACCGCAUAAGCGCACAGUAUCGCAUGAUACAGUGUGAAAAACUCCGGUGGUACAAGAUGGACCCGCGUCUGAUUAGCUAGUUGGUAAGGUAACGGCUUACCAAGGCGACGAUCAGUAGCCGACCUGAGAGGGUGACCGGCCACAUUGGGGCUGAGACACGGCCCAA